UCGCUACUACCGAUUGAAUGGCUUAGUGAGCUCUAGGGACUGUUGCCUUUCGUUGGGUUUCCAACGAGAGAUUAGCGGGAACUAGAUCAAACUUGAUCAUUUAGAGGAAGUAA
rnacentral:rRNA from 1 species